rnacentral:misc_RNA from 1 species
GGGUUGGCAAUCACCAGUGUCCAUUAUAGCAGACUCCAUGCAUUCUAAGCAUAAUCUCCGUCCAUCUUCUAAAAAAUAAUAUCUUGUAUCCCAAGACUUCAUGAUGACAGUAAAUCAAAAUGACAAAUAAAAUAACCAAUAACCAAUAACCAUUAUGAGUAAACGAAUUUAAUUAGAAUAUUUAUCAUGUUUUAUUCUCCAGACAUUAAGAGAUGAGUCUGUUGGACCAGAUAAUUUAUUGUGUUAACUUAGGUAAAUACUUCCAAGCGUUCACAACUACAGCACCUAGCUGUGUUAUCAUGGUCAUGUAAUGGGCAGUAUUUCUAAGACCAAAAAGGAUGGCAUCUAUACUCAAUC